rnacentral:rRNA from 1 species
AAAGCACUUUAAGUUGGGAGGAAGGGCAGUAAGUUAAUACCUUGCUGUUUUGACGUUACCAACAGAAUAAGCACCGGCUAACUUCGUGCCAGCAGCCGCGGUAAUACGAAGGGUGCAAGCGUUAAUCGGAAUUACUGGGCGUAAAGCGCGUGUAGGUGGUUCAGCAAGUUGGAUGUGAAAUCCCCGGGCUCAACCUGGGAACUGCAUCCAAAACUACUGAGCUAGAGUACGGUAGAGGGUGGUGGAAUUUC